AAAAAGAAAUGUGAAAAUGUUUCCUACAUUAUUCCACUGCCUUACAUGGUCACACACUUUCAGAUCAUUUCCAGUAGUAGAUUUAGAGAAUGUCCACUAUAUUCGAAGGCAUGGUUGGAUAGUGCCCUCUUGUGGGAAAACAACAUAUUGCUUAUGUCGUGCUUGCUUAAACAUUAGCAAGGAUUUUAAAAUUUUAUUAACUGGGUGCAGUGGCUCACGCCUGUAAUCCCAGCAGUUUGGGAGGCUGAGGCAGGCAGAUCACCUAAGUUGGGAGUUCGAGACCAGCCUGACCAACAUGGAGAAACCCCCUCUCUACUAAAAAUACAAAAUUAGCUGGGCAUGGUGGCAUGUGCCUGUAAUCCCAGCUACUCGGGAAGCUGAGGCAGAAGAAUCGCUUGAACCUGGGAGGCGGAGGUUGUAGUGAGCCGAGAUCGUGCCAUUGCACUGUAGCCUGGGCAACAAGAGCGAAACUCCAUCUCAAAAAAAAAAAAAUCGGUGUGUACAAGCAUGUUUUGUACAAAAUGCUUUUUCACUAGAAACCAUUAUUAAUUUAAGGUUUAUUCCUAAUUUCUUCCAUGUUUUAAAAGUAAAAAGGCGGGGAGGGUAAUGGAGGUGAUGGGGGUGUGAAUAGGAUUUGCUCUAGUUCCUUGGGUGGGGGAUAAAAUUCUCUGAGAGUCAGAAAAUGUUUUUGAGCAGCUCAUGGCAGAUAUUUGUAAAGAAAUAAGCAUAAACAGCUCCAAGUCAAGUUUUUACAGUGCAUUUCUUAUAAAAGCCCCUUUUCAGCCAUGUAAACUCUUUUUUAAGGAAGGCUCCCUAGGCUGAGAGGGAGCAAGCGUCCCUUCAGGUACUUGAGUCUAAUCAAAUGGUAGAAUGUAAAUCACAUUUUUUCAAUAAAGGAUCAUGGUUGGCUUUGGUGUCAGACAGGGCAGCAUCUGAGUCCUGGCUCUUCUGCUCAGUGAUGGUGGACUCUGGCAAAGAAUUUCACUUCCCUGCCCCUAGUGGUGGUGAUAGUCCAGUACCUUUAUUUCAAGUUUUUGAGCAUUAACUGGGAGAAUGUGGGGGCCUGACACAUAAGUGUGUGCUUC
rnacentral:lncRNA from 1 species